rfam:Lepisosteus oculatus linkage group LG22, whole genome shotgun sequence.
UCCUUGUUAGUAUAGUGGUGAGUAUCCUUGCCUGUCAUGCAAAAGACCAGGGUUCAAUUCCCUGCCGGGGAG